rnacentral:rRNA from 1 species
GGAUUGCCCCAGUAACGGCGAGUGAAGCGGCAACAGUUCAAAUUUGGAAUCUGGCCCCCUGACGGGGGUCCGAGUUGUAACCUGCAGAGGGUGCUUCGGCGUUGGCCCUGGGCCAAGUCCCCUGGAACGGGGCGUCCUAGAGGGUGAGAAUCCCGUACCCACCCGGGUGUCCUUCGCCUUGUGAAGCCCCUUCGAAGAGUCGAGUUGUUUGGGAAUGCAGCUCCAAGCGGGAGGUAAAUUCCUUCUAAAGCUAAAUACCGGCCAGAGACCGAUAGCGCACAAGUAGAGUGAUCGAAAGAUGAAAAGCACUUUGGAAAGAGAGUUAAAAAGUACGUGAAAUUGUUGAAAGGGAAGCUCUUGCCCCCAGACUUGCCGCGGUGGCUCAGCCGCUCCCCCCGGGGACGGUGGAACUCCCCCGCCGGCAGGCCAGCGUCGGUUCGGGCGGCCGGAUAAAGGCCCUGGGAAUGUAGCAUCCUCCGGGGUGUGUUAUAGCCCAGGGUGCAAUGCGGUCAGCCCGGUCCGAGGGAUGCGUUCGCGAGGACGCUGGCGUAAUGGUUGUAAGCGACCCGUCUUGAAACACGGACCAAGGAGUCUAACAUCUGUGCGAGUGUUUGGGUGUCAAGCCCACGCGCGUAAUGAAAGUGAACGGAGGUGGGAACCCCCCGGAGGGGCGCACCAUCGACCGAUCCUGAAGUCUUCGGAUGGAUUUGAGUAAGAGCAUAGCUGUUGGGACCCGAAAGAUGGUGAACUAUUCCCGGAUAGGGUGAAGCCAGAGGAAACUCUGGUGGAGGCUCGCAGCGGUUCUGACGUGCAAAUCGAUCGUCAAAUCUAGGAAUAGGGGCGAAAGACUAAUCGAACC